AAUCAUGGACAAUGGUGGAAACCCUGAUCCAGCCAUCCCGCGUGUUGGAUGAAGGACUUCGGUUUGCAAAGUACUUUUGGCAGAGAAGAAAAGGUACCUCCUAAUACGAGGUACUGCUGACGGUAUCUGCAGUAGAAGUACCGGCACACUCCGUGCCCGCAGCCGGGGUAAUACGUAGGGCGCAAGCGUUAAUCGGAAUUACUGGGCGUAAAGCGUGUGUAGGCGGUUCGGAAAGAAAGAUGUGAAAGCCCAGGGCUCAACCUUGGAACUGCAUUUUUAACUGCCGAGCUAGGGUAUGUAAGAGGGGGGUAGAAUUCCACGUGUAGCAGUGAAAUGCGUAGAUAUGUGGAGGAAUACCGAUGGCGAAGGCAGCCCCCUGGGAUAAUACUGACGCUCAGACACGAAAGCGUGGGGAGCAAACAG
rnacentral:rRNA from 1 species